AACGAACGCUGGCGGCAUGCCUAACACAUGCAAGUCGAACGAGACCUUCGGGUCUCGUGGCGCACGGGUGCGUAACGCGUGGGAACCUGCCCUUAGGUUCGGAAUAACUCCCCGAAAGGGGUGCUAAUACCGGAUAAUGUCUUCGGACCAAAGAUUUAUCGCCUUUGGAUGGGCCCGCGUUGGAUUAGCUAGUUGGUAGGGUAAAAGCCUAUCAAGGCGACGAUCCAUAGCUGGUCUGAGAGGAUGAACAGCCACACUGGGACUGAGACACGGCCCAGACUCAUACGGGAGGGAGCAGUGGGAAAUAUUGGAAAAUGGGCGAGAGUGUGAGCGAGCUGUGCCGCGGAAGUGGUGAAGGCCUUAGGGUUGUAAAGCUCUUUUACCCGAGAAGAUAAUGACAGUACCGGGAGAAUAAGCACCGGCUAACUCCGUG
rnacentral:rRNA from 1 species